rnacentral:rRNA from 1 species
GAUGAACGCUGGCGGCGUGCUUAACACAUGCAAGUCGAACGGUGAAGGCGGAGCUUGCUCUGCUGGAUCAGUGGCGAACGGGUGAGUAACACGUGAGCAAUCUGCCCCUGACUCUGGGAUAAGCGCUGGAAACGGCGUCUAAUACUGGAUACGAGCUGCGAAGGCAUCUUCAGCAGCUGGAAAGAACUUCGGUCAGGGAUGAGCUCGCGGCCUAUCAGCUUGUUGGUGAGGUAACGGCUCACCAAGGCGUCGACGGGUAGCCGGCCUGAGAGGGUGACCGGCCACGCGGGGGCGGAACCAGGGCCCGGCCCCCGCGGGGGGGCAGCAGGGGGGAUUAGUGCAAAAGGGGAGAAGGCUGGAGGCAGCACGGCGGGGGGGGGGCGGCCGGCCGUGGGUUGGAAACCCUUUUUUGGCGGGAAAAAGGCAAAAGGGAGGGACCCUGAAAAAAAGGCGCGGGCAAGCUAGGUC